rnacentral:rRNA from 1 species
GUGGGGAAUAUUCCGCAAUGGACGAAAGUCUGACGGAGCAACGCCGCGUGAGUGAUGAAGGUUUUCGGACUGUAAAGCUCUGUUGUUUAGGACGAAAGUGCCUGUUGCAAAUAGUUACAGGUAUUGACGGUACUGAACGAGGAAGCCACGGCUAACUACGUGCCAGCAGCCGCGGUAAUACGUAGGUGGCAAGCGUUGUCCGGAAUUAUUGGGCGUAAAGAGCAUGUAGGCGGGAAUCUAAGUCUGUUGUGAAAAUGCGGGGCUCAACCCCGUAUGGCGAUGGAAACUGGGUUUCUUGAGUGCAGGAGAGGAAAGGGGAAUUCCCAGUGUAGCGGUGAAAUGCGUAGAUAUUGGGAGGAACACCAGUGGCGAAGGCGCCUUUCUGGACUGUGUCUGACGCUGAGAUGCGAAAGCCAGGGUAGCGAACGGGAUUAGAUACCCUUGUAGUCC